rnacentral:lncRNA from 13 species
GAUUCGCCUUUACACUUGUCAUGAACACGCGACUCUUCGUUUUCGGCACUCUCGAAACAUUCCCGGUACUCGCGCGCGUCGAAAACACGGGAUACAAGGCAAUGGAGAAGAUGCGAAACACGGUUGAACGCGACACGACUUCGCUCUAUCCAUCGUAUCCGACACAAGUCAACACGACGCAACGGAUGCUGGCACGAAUGCCCGACAUCACUUCGCUUUCGACACUGCACGGCAGUCUCGAAACACUCGCUCGCGUCAACAUCUCAUACGGGACGACGAGGAUGCGAGUUAAAAGGCGCCGCGACGCACCGCGACCUUCCGCCGUCCUGCCUAACUGCCUAACCGACUGACACUGCGUAGCACUGCGUAGCGGCGUGACGCGCGACUCACGUGACUGGCGCCUACGCGCCGCUGCGCUGCUCUACCGCCGCUACGCAGUAGCAGCAGACGGUCAGUUAGACAGGGCGGCGGAAGAUCGCGGCGCGUCGUGACGCAUUUCAACUCGUAUUCUCGUUGUCCCGUACGAGUUUUUGACGCGAGCGAGUGUUUCGAGAGUGUCGAAAGCGAAAUGGUGUCGGGCGUUUGUGCCAACAUCCGUCGUAUACGAUGCAUGGUGCGAAAUCGCGUUCAAUCGUGUCUGCAACUUCCCCGUGGCCUCGUAUUUCGAGUUUUCUACGAGCGUGAGUACCAGGAGUGUUUCGAGAGUGCCAAAACCGAAGAAUCACGCAUUCAUGUCGAGUGUGAAUGAAGACGAAUCAUCGUGAGAAGGAUCUUGGACGAACUCGAACGUUCGAGAACUGCGGUCGAGCCAGAGCUGGACGGAUCGAGCGAUCAGUGGCGAACGAACGCAACGGACGCGGGAUGGACGGGCCCCGGAACGGAGACGUUAUCGCGGCUCGUUUAAUAGAACGCGGCGGGUGGUGGAUGGAUUGGAACUGGAGCGAGGGGCGUCGCGAUUCGUUUAACAAAUAUGCGAAAUCAAUCUCAAUCUCAAUCGCGUCAAUACUAUCAGUUUAACCAUCGCGUAAUACAAAUUCUAUACUCAUAUUGGUGAUUCGUACAAACGCAUAUUUCGCGAUAAUCACUUGGUCAAAGAACGCGGCGUAUGCAAAAAGGAUUAACUCCGAAACGAAUGGCGUUGCGAUUCAUCUAAUUAAUUGUAUAGUAUCGUAUGUACUACAAUUCUAUUAUUGCACAUUGUGGGAUCUGACAACUCGAAAAUAAAUUAGACUUAAAGGAGGUAUCGGGUUUCGAUGGGCAAACUUUGCGAUUCAUCAUAGUGACGUGUCUGUUAACUCCACAGUUCCGUAUUAAUUGCAAACUUAUCCAUGUAUAAAGUUGACAUACUCUCGUCGCCGAUUUUAAUUGAAAAUAAACGAAUCGUAGCCGGUUCGUCGCGUCGCGCGUUUUAUAUCGGUAGUGCCGUUCAAGUUAUCGGAUUAAAACUCUUUAAAUAAUUAGUCCGCGCGCGAUUGUAAUAUAUUAUCGCGAGUGUUUUUCGCGAGUGUACAACAGUAAAAAGAGAAGGAGGAGGAGGAGAUCUAACAAUCUGAGAGGAGUAGGAGGCCUGAGAGGCAUCAGGCUCCAGAGGAGCAACUCUUGGGUAUCAUCGCAGCUUCGUGGCAGAAUUACUCCUCUCGUUGCGCAUCGGGUCGAUUAAAUCGCAGGAUCUGAGAGAAGGUGACCGAGUAACUCUGCUCAUAGCGCAUCGGAUCGGGAGUAAAUCUUUGAAUAUCGCUGGUGCGGCUGGACAGAUUCCAUGAAGAAAUCAAUGGAGAGAUCUAUGGAAAUUCCUUUUCUUGGCUCGACUCCGCGGGAAUGGGAAGAACAAUGCGCCGGUCUGGGAACAUCUUUUAUACAAUUAUAGUUUUUACGCGACGCGAUCCGCCCGGAAAUAUGGGCGGAUGGAGGGAGGGGGGGGGGGAUGGGGACGGGCUCGUGGCAGAGGUGGCACAAGGCAGCGAAGAAGGAACGACAGAGAAAAGACGAUGGGAGAGAGCGAAAGAGGGUAGAUAAUAGCCAGGAUAGAAUUGUUCCAAGAGCAAAAAACCGAUCCAUCCCGAAGUGUUAUCGGAUGGCAGAGACGCUCGCGAGCCGAGUACCGCGCUCCGCACCUUCUUUCUGAAAAUGCCUCUAGGAGAAAAUUGCUUUAUUCGCGCGGCGUACACAUGGCAGUACCAACUGCUGCACCUCGACAUCCGUGAUAAGCACCGCACACAAUUAAUCCAUUAACAGUGAAAAUUAUUUUUACAAACUAAAAUGGCAGUUUCUGUUUUCAUCAAAUCUUCAAAUCCGUAAAAAAAAA